rnacentral:rRNA from 1 species
ACAAGGUCUCCGUAGGUGAACCUGCGGAGGGAUCAUUACCG